rnacentral:rRNA from 1 species
CCGCGAAAACUUUACAAUGCUGGCAACAGCGAUAAGGGAACCUCGAGUGCCAGGUUACAAAUCUGGCUGUCGAGAUGCCUAAAAAGCAUUUCAUAGCAAGGGCCGGGCAAGACCGGUGCCAGCCGCCGCGGUAACACCGGCGGCUCGAGUGGUAACCAUUAUUAUUGGGUCUAAAGGGUCUGUAGCCGGCCGGAUAAGUCUCUUGAGAAAUCUGGCAGCUUAACUGUCAGGCUUUCAGGAGAUACUGUCUGGCUCGAGGCCGGGAGAGGUGAGAGGUACUUCAGGGGUAGGGGUGAAAUCUUGUAAUCCUUGAAGGACCACCAGUGGCGAAGGCGUCUCACCAGAACGGACCUGACGGCAAGGGACGAAAGCUAGGGGCA